rnacentral:rRNA from 1 species
ACAGAGGGUGCGAGCGUUGUCCGGAAUCACUGGGCGUAAAGGGUGCGUAGGCGGGUUCUUAGGUCAGAGGUGAAAUCCUGGAGCUCAACUCCAGAACUGCCUUUGAUACUGAGAGUCUUGAGUAUGACAGAGGUGAGUGGAAUUCCCAGUGCAGCGGUGAAAUGCGUAGAUAUUGGGAGGAACACCAGUGGCGAAGGCGGCUCACUGGACCGGUACUGACGCUGAUGCGCGAAAGCGUGGGGAGCAAACGGGA